CAUGUAGGUGGAUACUUAAGUCUGUUGUGAAAAUGCGGGGCUCAACCCGUAUUGCGAUGGAAACUGGGUGUCUUGAGUGCAGGAGAGGAAAGGGGAAUUCCCAGUGUAGCGGUGAAAUGCGUAGAUAUUGGGAGGAACACCAGUGGCGAAGGCGCCUUUCUGGACUGUGUCUGACACUGAGAUGCGAAAGCUAGGGGAGCGAACG
rnacentral:rRNA from 1 species